rnacentral:lncRNA from 1 species
AAAGGUACGGAGAAUAAUUAGUUACCAAAAAUGCAUUGAUAAUUUAAUUUAAUUUAAUUUCUUUAAUAUGUAUGAAUAUUUUAGAAAUACAUAUAUUUUUUUAAAACAGAGUAUUAACUUAUUAUAUUUUAGUUAUUUUUUGUCGUCAUUUAUACACGAUUGUCACGUAAGCAUUCAAGGGGGCCCAUAAUUUCAGAGCAUAUCUACCGAACUUUGGCAUGCAAAAAGUUUUGAAAGACUACAAAUCCGGCGGCUGUGGUAAAUUGCUUGCUAUCAUAUUUCUAUGGAACUAACAAAAACAAGAAAUUGCCAUAUUUAAAAAAAAAUAGAAAAAAGAAAAAGAAGAGUCAAAAAAAGGAGAAAGAAUAUUCAAAAAUAAACAAAAAGCAAGAAAAGGAGAAUAUUAAAAUAAUUAUCUCAAGACGCUAUAGAUAAAGUGGGGCCCAAGAAAAUCUUUCAGACAACGUGGCUGAUCAGAUCGGGUCCCACAAUUAGGACAAUGGUUUCUGGGAUUUGGAUAAGUCCUCUUCUUUUCGUUUUAGUAUUUCUUUUUCUCUCCCACUCCCUUAUCUUGUCCUAGAAAUUUAAAACAAAUUCUAACACCAUUAAACCACUCAUUUCAUCUUCAAUUUUUAAAAAAGAUUCUUUGAUUUUUAAAAAGUUUCCAUGUUAUGAUAUUUUUGAAGCUACCAUGGAAAAUACUGAUCACCCAAAUUAUUUUGUAAUUUUCUUGUCU